UCCUACGGGGGGCAGCAGUGGGGAAUAUUGCACAAUGGGCGCAAGCCUGAUGGAGCAACGCCGCGUGGGUGAAGAAGGUCUUCGGAUCGUAAAACCCUGUUGUUAGAGAAGAAAGUGCGUGAGAGCAACUGUUCACGUUUCGACGGUAUCUAACCAGAAAGCCACGGCUAACUACGUGCCAGCAGCCGCGGUAAUACGUAGGUGGCAAGCGUUAUCCGGAUUUAUUGGGCGUAAAGGGAACGCAGGCGGUUUUUUAAGUCUGAUGUGAAAGCUUUCGGCUUAACCGGCGUAGUGCAUUGGAAACU
rnacentral:rRNA from 1 species